GUUCUGAUCGUACUUCCUGGGUACAGACAACAUGAUACACACAGCUCAGAUGGAUAGGAGGAGGAAUGUGUUGGUGCUGCAGUUCUGAUCGUACUUCCUGGUACAGACAACAUGAUACACACAGCUCAGAUGGAUAGGAGGAGGAAUGUGUUGGUGCUGCAGUUCUGAUCGUACUUCCUGGUACAGACAACAUGAUACACACAGCUCAGAUGGAUAGGAGGAGGAAUGUGUUGGUGCUGCAGUUCUGAGAGGUUCCUGAUGUACACAUGGUGGUUGUGGAGAGGGAGGAUAUGAUGUCAGAGGUUCCUGAUGUACACAUGGUGGUUGUGGAGAGGGAGGAUAUGAUGUCAGAGGUUCCUGAUGUACACAUGGUGGUUGUGGAGAGGGAGGAUAUGAUGUAAGAGGUUCCUGAUGUACACAUGUCUGGGUCGGCCUGUCCUGGGACUUUACAUUGAUAACAGAGGUCUUCUGGUCUCUGGUCUACCAGCAUCGGUCUCUGAUGGUAGAGAUGUCUGGGUCGGCCUGUCCUGGGAUGUUACAUUGAUAACAGAGGUCUUCUGGUCUCUGGUCUACCAGCAUCGGUCUCUGAUGGUAGAGAUGUCUGGGUCGGCCUGUCCUGGGAUGUUACAUUGAUAACAGAGGUCUUCUGGUCUCUGGUCUACCAGCAUCGGUCUCUGAUGGUAGAGAUGUCUGGGUCGGCCUGUCCUGGGAUGUUACAUUGAUAACAGAGGUCUUCUGGUCUCUGGUCUACCAGCAUCGGUCUCUGAUGGUAGAGAUGUCUGGGUCGGCCUGUCCUGGGAUGUUACAUUGAUAACAGAGGUCUUCUGGUCUCUGGUCUACCAGCAUCGGUCUCUGAUGGUAGCUGCUUUUCCAAAA